AGAUACUACCAGAUCUGACCUAGUACAACCCGAAGACAGAAGACUAUCAAAAGAAGUCAGAUACUGCUAGCUGGAUGCAGAUACCUUCUAUUUGUUGUCCUUGUAUUCUGUGUUGAACACGUACUGCCUCUACCUGCAUUCAGUGUCAUGAGUUUGGAUGGCUCUGUCUCAAAUCCAGUUGCCUUACUGAGAUCAACAUGGUACCGGGCCUUUGAGAACAAGGCAGGGCUCUUGACAUAUACAAUGUGUGACACUGACAUUUAACGUAUUGUCUACAACAAAAGCAGAAUUAUUGAUUUAAGAAGUGGUUAUUAUCUAAUUGGGACCAACAACUGGUGUGUAACUAUGAU